rnacentral:rRNA from 1 species
UACGUAGGGGGCAAGCGUUGUCCGGAUUUAUUGGGCGUAAAGAGCGUGUAGGCGGCCAUACAGGUCCGUUGUGAAAACUCGAGGCUUAACCUCGAGACGUCGAUGGAAACCGUAUGGCUAGAGUCCGGAAGAGGAGAGUGGAAUUCCCGGUGUAGCGGUGAAAUGCGCAGAUAUCGGGAAGAACACCCGUGGCGAAGGCGGCUCUCUGGGACGGUACUGACGCUGAGACGCGAAAGCGUGGGGAGCAAACAGG